UGGAAAACCUCCCGGGUGAAAUGCUCACUGAUAUCCGUGCGCUUGCGGAUCAUUUCCUUAUUGCGUUACCAAAUAUCAACAAGCAUUUCUGGCGCCGUUGCCGGGGAGAAAGACGGUUUGCUGAGACAACUUUAAGUCUUGCUAUUAUCUUGUACUAUACUUUUAUGCUUUUAUUCUUUUAUCUUUUUAUUUUUUCCAUUUUUAUGGAUAACUCAAAUUCCACACCUAUUAUUGAAUUUUUUGCACCUUCGGAGACCAGCCAUAGACCAUGGGAGUCAACAAGUCCUGCCCCUAAUUAUGAUCUGUGUCCGAAGUUGAUGGCAAUAGGUCAAAACCAACCAUUUUCUAUAGCUGAGGUCCUAUCUUUUAAUUAAGAAGAUAAUGCACUUUUAGCUACACCUAGGGAAUCUGUUAAUUUUUCUAUAAAUUCUGGUUUAAACCUAGCCCUACAAGACCAUGUUUUUUCUCGAUAUUUUUACAUUGGUCUUAAUCAUAUAACCUUUGGUAGAGUCUUUCUUUCUUUAUCUAUUAGUAAAGGAAGGUAUGUCUU
rnacentral:lncRNA from 1 species